GCUUCAACUUCUUAGAUAAUUGAUUGCAGGGCGUCUAGUCCGGCAAUGGAUUAGAUCAUCACUGGGUGAAUUGCUGGAACUUCCUUAGAGCUUUUCUGACCACAGCAUAGCUGGAAACGGCAAGUGUGAGGGUUUGAAAACAGAAGAGAUUGGAUAAUCAGCAGCCAAGCCCCUGUUCCGAAAGGAUGGGGAAGGUUCAACGACUAGAAUGCACUGCCUAAAGUUUAAAGCUAUGGCAAUGAGAUUCGUAGGAUGAGAAAUCAUUCGAAGUGCCCAGCCCCAUGAAAAUGGGUGAAGAUAUAGUCUAUUCUAUCGCCGAAAGGCAUAG
rnacentral:ncRNA from 1 species